CCGGCGCACGGGUGAGUAACGCGUAUGCAACCUACCUACUACUUUGGCAUAGCUCGUUGAAAGACGAAUUAAUACCUUAUAAUACAGGGGCUCCGCAUGGAGAUAUUUGUUAAAGAUUUAUCGGUAGUAGAUGGGCGUGCGUUCCAUUAGUUAGUUGGUGAGGUAACGGCUCACCAAGGCAACGAUGGAUAGGGGAACUGAGAGGUUUGUCCCCCACACUGGAACUGAGACACGGUCCAGACUCCUACGGGAGGCAGCAGUGAGGAAUAUUGGUCAAUGGAGGCAACUCUGAACCAGCCAAGUCGCGUGAAGGAUGACUGCCCUACGGGUUGUAAACUUCUUUUUUAAGGGAAUAAAGUGAGCCACGUGUGGCUUUUUGCAUGUACCUUACGAAUAAGGAUCGGCUAACUCCGUGCCAGCAGCCGCGGUAAUACGGAGGAUCCGAGCGUUAUCCGGAUUUAUUGGGUUUAAAGGGUGCGCAGGCGGAAUAUUAAGUCGGCGGUGAAAGUUUGCA
rnacentral:rRNA from 1 species